AGGCAAUCCUCCCAUCUACGAGCUAUACACACAAUCAAAU
rnacentral:sRNA from 1 species